AGUCACGUAGUUUGAUCAUGGCUCAGAUUGAACGCUGGCGGCAUGCCUUACACAUGCAAGUCGAACGGUAGGAGGGGGCAACCCUUGAGAGUGGCGAACGGGUGAGUAAUAUAUCGGAACGUGCCCAGUCGUGGGGGAUAACGUAGCGAAAGUUACGCUAAUACCGCAUACGAUCUAAGGAUGAAAGCGGGGGAUCGCAAGACCUCGCGCGAUUGGAGCGGCCGAUAUCAGAUUAGGUAGUUGGUGGGGUAAAGGCUCACCAAGCCAACGAUCUGUAGCUGGUCUGAGAGGACGACCAGCCACACUGGAACUGAGACACGGUCCAGACUCCUACGGGAGGCAGCAGUGGGGGAAUAUUGGACAAUGGGCGAAAGCCUGAUCCAGCAAUGCCGCGUGAGUGAUGAAGGCCUUCGGGUUGUAAAGCUCUUUUACUCGGGACGAUAAUGACGGUACCGAGAGAAUAAGCCCCGGCUAACUACGUG
rnacentral:rRNA from 1 species